AUUGAACGCUGGCGGAAUGCUUUACACAUGCAAGUCGAACGGUAGAGGGGGCAACCCCUCGAGAGUGGCGAACGGGUGAGUAAUAUAUCGGAACGUGCCCAGUCGUGGGGGAUAACGUAGCGAAGGUUACGCUAAUACCGCAUACGAUCUAAGGAUGAAAGCGGGGGAUCGCAAGACCUCGCGCGAUUGGAGCGGCCGAUAUCAGAUUAGGUAGUUGGUGGGGUAAAGGCUCACCAAGCCAACGAUCUGUAGCUGGUCUGAGAGGACGACCAGCCACACUGGAACUGGGACACGGUCCAGACUCCUACGGGAGGCAGCAGUGGGGAAUUUUGGACAAUGGACGCAAGUCUGAUCCAGCCAUUCCGCGUGCAGGAUGAAGGCCCUCGGGUUGUAAACUGCUUUUGUACGGAACGAAAAGGUCUCUCUUAAUACGGGGGACUCAUGACGGUACCGUAAGAAUAAGCACCGGCUAACUACGUGCCAGCAGCCGCCGUAACAC
rnacentral:rRNA from 1 species